GAUGAACGCUGGCGGCGUGCCUAAUACAUGCAAGUCGAACGAACCGACCAGGAACUUGCUCCCCCGACGUUAGCGUCGGACGGGUGAGUCCCUCAUGGAUACCCUACCUAUAAGACUGGGAUAACUUCGGGAGACCGGAUCUAAUACCGGAUAAUUUAUUGACCCUCAUGGUUCAAUAGUUAAAGACGGUUUUUCUUUCACUUAUAGAUAGAUCCGCCCCGCAUUAGCUAGUUGGGAAGGUAACGGCUUACCCACGCAACGAUGCGUAACCGACCUGAGAGGGUGAACGGCCACACGGGAACUGAGAAACGGUCCAGACUCUUACAGGAGGCAGCAGUAGGGAAUCUUACGGAAGGGGCGAAAGCCUGACGGAGCAACGCCGCGGGAGUGAUGAAGGACUUCGGAUCGUAGAACUCUGUUAGUAGGGAAGAACAAAUGUGUAAGUAACUAGGCACGUCUUGACGGUACCUAAUCAGAAAGCCACGGCUAACUACGUG
rnacentral:rRNA from 1 species